rfam:Papio anubis isolate 1X1155 chromosome 8, whole genome shotgun sequence.
AAAAGAUGGUAAACUAUGCCUGGGCAAGACGAAGCCAGAGGAAACUGGUGGAGGUCCACAAUGGUCCUGAUGGGCAAAUUGAUUGUCCAACCUGGAUAUAGGGAUGAAAGACUAAUUGAACCAUCUAAUAGCU